rnacentral:tRNA from 1 species
GACUGGAUAGCCUAGUGGUCAAAGGCAGUGCUUCUGACAAUGAUGAGGUCCCAGGUUCAAAUCCUGGUCUAGUCA